rfam:Bacillus licheniformis ATCC 14580, complete genome.
CUGAUACAAGACAACGAAAGCCCUACCUCUCAUUCGUCCUUGCGGCUCCGAAGCCGCGCCAGUGUGAAUUGUGAAACAAAAAGUCUU